AUUCCGUGUAAACCGUGAACCGAACUGAAUUUUUUGGUUAACCAUAAAUUUGGUUUACUGUUUUAUGCUACCAUUUUUUAUUAUCAUUUUACAUAACCGAAUUUACAAAUAAACUGAUUGGCAUUAGCGAAAAUGCCUAGGCCUAGCGGUACUACCGCUGUGAGGAGCGGUACUACCUAUCAUAAAAGGUAGUACCGCCUCCUAUAUCCACUCACGGCCCGUUGCACACCUAUCAAGAAAUACCGGUACUACCGCUCCAGAAACCGCUCAGUCCGAGUGGUACUAGCCACCGGAACUGGCCAGAUUACUUCCGCCCGAGAGCGGCACUAAUGCUGCGAGGGUAGUACUACCAAUCAUAAGAGGUAG
rnacentral:lncRNA from 1 species